rnacentral:rRNA from 1 species
UACGGAGGGGCUAGCGUUGUCCGAAGUUACUGGGCGUAAAGCGCGCGUAGGCGGGUUGGUAAGUCCGCUGUGAAAGCCCGGAGCUUAACUUCGAAACUGCAUUCGAUACUGCCGUGCUUGAGGACUGGAGAGGAGACUGGAAUUUACGGUGUAGCGGUGAAAUGCGUAGAUAUCGUAAGGAAGACCAGUGGCGAAGGCGGUUACCUGGAGCUUGCUGACGCUGGAUGCGCGAAA